rnacentral:rRNA from 1 species
AGUGAACGCUGGCGGUAGACCUAACACAUGCAAGUCGAACGGCAGCACAGUAAGAGCUUGCUCUUACGGGUGGCGAGUGGCGGACGGGUGAGGAAUACAUCGGAAUCUACUUUUUCGUGGGGGAUAACGUAGGGAAACUUACGCUAAUACCGCAUACGACCUACGGGUGAAAGCAGGGGAUCUUCGGACCUUGCGCGAUUGAAUGAGCCGAUGUCGGAUUAGCUAGUUGGCGGGGUAAAGGCCCACCAAGGCGACGAUCCGUAGCUGGUCUGAGAGGAUGAUCAGCCACACUGGAACUGAGACACGGUCCAGACUCCUGCGGGAGGCAGCAGUGGGGAAUAUUGGACAAUGGGCGCAAGCCUGAUCCAGCCAUACCGCGUGGGUGAAGAAGGCCUUCGGGUUGUAAAGCCCUUUUGUUGGGAAAGAAAAGCAGCAGGUUAAUACCCCGCUGUUCUGACGGUACCCAAAGAAUAAGCACCGGCUAACUUCGUG